rnacentral:lncRNA from 1 species
CACCUCGAUGCAGAUAGACAACCGAAUGAGGCAAUAUAGGCACACAUCGGAAGCCCGAGGCGAAAAAGCAAGCACACGCCGACAAUCCAAUGUAGCAAUGAGUGUAGAUGUUGGCACCCCAAUGCAGCAACAUAGGCACACAAAAGCAACGAAAAGCAGCAAAGUAGGCACACGAAUGCAACUACUUAGUAUUGGAAGAGGACAACACUGAUUAUCUCCUAUAGGCUUAAUCUA